rnacentral:pre_miRNA from 1 species
UCUUCAUUUCACACACUCUCUCGCCUCUCUGGCCGGUGAAAGAGUGUGCGAAAUGAAGAGA